AGAGCGAACGCUGGCGGCAGGCCUAACACAUGCAAGUCGAGCGGCCGUAGCAAUACGGCAGCGGCAGACGGGAGAGUAACACGUGGGAACGUGCCCUUCAGUUCGGAACAACCAAGGGAAACUUUGGCUAAUACCGGAUACGCCCUUACGGGGAAAGAUUUAUCGCUGAACGGAGCGGCCCGCGUCUGAUUAGCUAGUUGGUGAGGUAAUGGCUCACCAAGGCGACGAUCAGUAGCUGGUCUGAGAGGAUGAGUCAGCCUCACGUGGGACUGAGACCACGGCCAGACCUCCGUACGGGAGCGAGCGAGGUAGGGAAUAGUUGGACAAGUGGGAC
rnacentral:rRNA from 1 species